CUCGGAACCUAUCAAUAAUUAAUUAGGGAAUUAAACUGAUCAGCUAGGGACACGUGACAGCACAGGUGUCCUACAUUGGUGAUCUGUCACAUACUGACACCUCAAGCCAUGUGUGGGCAGCUCUGAGGGGUGGAGAAAACAGGUUCAGCUCCCAAUUAUGGGGCUGCAGGACAGCUACAGGUUAUAGAUUGGCUGCUUGUUAAUUAAGUGGCAAAAUGCAAUUUCAGCCUUUGCCCAGCUUUGUACUGCAUGACCUUCCUUUUUCCUCCCUCUCUGGAAAAUAAAAUUAGUUCCCCUGGCAAGUGACACCGCUCACCUCCUCUAGGUUCUUCCCAUCAACUUGAUGUAGUGUUUUUCACUGCACUGUGACCACCCUCCAAACCUUUCAGCAAUGAAAUAACCACACAACUGAUUUAAUUUUUUUUAUUUUUUUUUUUUAAGGCACUGAAUGCAAUGAAGCUUUCAGAUUUUUUUUUCCAGCUGCUCUGAGUUGCUGCAACACCAGUAAUGUCCCUGUUUGUAACCCUUCCCAGGGAUGUGCAGAAUUCACUGCUCCUCCAGCAUUCCCCAAGUGCACAGCUGGCACUGGGAGCAACGGGAUUCCUAGAGAACACAGUGAUGCAUUAGGGUUUUAUCUUCUAUGCUUUUCAUAUAUUUGUAAUCCUGCAAUUCUUUAGUGGAUAACUCUAAACUCCAUAUUCAGUGCAAGCUGUUCUCAUUUUAGUCAGACACAAUUCCUCUCCAGGCCUGGGAAUCAAGGGCACCUCACUGUCCCAGGCCCUGAGAAAUGUAAACAAAAGUGAGUUGGGGGUGGGAAAACUUGGGGUAAAUGACUUCGUUACCUGAAGCUGGAAUUGGAAGAUUCACCCCCAAAAUGCAAAUGGACCAAAUUUACAAGUGUGAAAACCCAUGACCCAUGGUCCAUUUUGGGUGCAGCCCCUGGUGGGGGCUUUGUGUGCCCAAAAUGUACCUGAAGGCCCUCCAAUAAAUAGAACUGCUUUUUAUUCCAUAAAUUUUGUCUGGCCUCUGCUUUUAGGUAGAAAAAGCAUCAACAGCUGUGUGGAGAGAGAGAUUAAGUACAACUGGGGAAGAAGGCAAAGGCAGAAAACAUUAAGAUCCAUUAAUGGCUGCUCCGUUGCGCAGGCCCCAGGAAGGCCUCGGCGGCGCCGGAGCACGGCACCCGCUGCAGCCUGGGGAACACGGCUCAGUCACCUUGGGAGCAGCGGCUGUGGGAGCAGGGGCAAAAGAAAGAAACUGGAAUGUGCAAACCAUUUGCAACAAGAGAGAAGACUCCCUCAAAUUGUAUACAACUCACACCCAAUUUGUGGUCAGUGAAGGUUUAUUUUCUACUUGUAAUGCUUUCCUACUUUGUAAUGCUCUUGUCAGUUUUACUUGGAUCACAAAGCAUCAUUUGAGCAACUCUAUCAAAUGUGGAGGAUAGAUAAUAUUCUGCACUGUCAGUACUAUUUAAAAUGCAAGAGCAGGUAAUAUGAAAAAUGAUUAAACUACCCAGGUUGUAUUUAACCUGUGUUGCCACUGCUAAAUCCACACACCAAGUGUUUGGGGCAAUUAUUGGAGGCAGAACUCCAGAUCCUCAGAUCCUGUACCCAGCAGGAAGACAGCCAUUUCUAAAAAUAAAUAAAUAUCAGGGAAGGGGCUUAUCA
rnacentral:lncRNA from 1 species